AUGAUCUGAAGUCAGGUGAGAUUACCCGCUGAACUUAAGCAUAUCAUAAGC
rnacentral:rRNA from 1 species